GACAGAGGGUGCAAGCGUUAAUCGGAAUGACUGGGCGUAAAGGGCGUGUAGGUGGUUGUCUAGGUUGAAUGUGAAAGCCCUCAGCUUAACUGGGGAAGGGCAUUCAAUACCGGUCAACUUGAGUGAGAGAGAGGGUCGUGGAAUUUCCGGUGUAGCGGUGAAAUGCAUAGAUAUCGGAAGGAACACCAGUGGCGAAGGCGACGACCUGGCUCUUAACUGACACUGAGGCGCGAAAGCGUGGGGAGCAAACAGG
rnacentral:rRNA from 1 species